rnacentral:tRNA from 1 species
GGGCACAUGGUGUAGUUGGUUAUCACGCUCGCUUAGCACCUAAUUUGCGAGAGGUGUUGGGUUCAAUUCCCAAUGUGUCCA